AACGAACGCUGGCGGCAUGCCUAACACAUGCAAGUCGAACGAUACCUUCGGGUCGAGUGUCGCACGGGUGCGUACCGCGUGGUAACCUGCCCUUAGGUUCGGCAUAACUCCCCGAAAGGGGUGCUAAUCCCUUGUAAUUUCUUCGGACCAGAUAUUUAUCGCCUUUGGAAGGGCCCGCGUUUUAUUAGGUUGUUGGUUGGGUAGAGGCCUACCCAGGCGGCUAUGGGUAGCUGGCCUGAGAGGGUGAUCGGCCACACUGGGACUGAGACACGGACCAGACUCCGACGGGAGGCAGCAGUGGGGAAUAUUGCACAAUGGACGGAAGUCUGAUGCAGCAACGCCUCGUGCGGGAUGAAGGACUUCGGGUUGUAAACCGCUUUAAAUUGUGACGAAGCUUUUUUGUGACGGUAGCAGUAGAAGAAGCACCGGCUAACUACGUG
rnacentral:rRNA from 1 species